rnacentral:rRNA from 1 species
GAGUUUGAUCCUGGCUCAGAUUGAACGCUGGCGGCAGGCCUAACACAUGCAAGUCGAGCGGAUGAGAAGAGCUUGCUCUUCGAUUCAGCGGCGGACGGGUGAGUAAUGCCUAGGAAUCUGCCUGGUAGUGGGGGACAACGUUUCGAAAGGAACGCUAAUACCGCAUACGUCCUACGGGAGAAAGCAGGGGACCUUCGGGCCUUGCGCUAUCAGAUGAGCCUAGGUCGGAUUAGCUAGUUGGUGAGGUAAUGGCUCACCAAGGCGACGAUCCGUAACUGGUCUGAGAGGAUGAUCAGUCACACUGGAACUGAGACACGGUCAGACUCCUACGGGAGGCAGCAGUGGGGAAUAUUGGACAAUGGGCGAAAGCCUGAUCCAGCCAUGCCGCGUGUGUGAAGAAGGUCUUCGGAUUGUAAAGCACUUUAAGUUGGGAGGAAGGGCAUUAACCUAAUACGUUAGUGUUUUGACGUUACCGACAGAAUAAGCACCGGCUAACUCUG